rnacentral:rRNA from 1 species
GACGAACGCUGGCGGCGUGCUUAACACAUGCAAGUCGAACGGAAAGGCCCUGCUUUUGUGGGGUGCUCGAGUGGCGAACGGGUGAGUAACACGUGAGUAACCUGCCCUUGACUUUGGGAUAACUUCAGGAAACUGGGGCUAAUACCGGAUAGGAGCUCCUGCUGCAUGGUGGGGGUUGGAAAGUUUCGGCGGUUGGGGAUGGACUCGCGGCUUAUCAGCUUGUUGGUGGGGUAGUGGCUUACCAAGGCUUUGACGGGUAGCCGGCCUGAGAGGGUGACCGGCCACAUUGGGACUGAGAUACGGCCCAGACUCCUACGGGAGGCAGCAGUGGGGAAUAUUGCACAAUGGGCGGAAGCCUGAUGCAGCAACGCCGCGUGCGGGAUGACGGCCUUCGGGUUGUAAACCGCUUUCGCCUGUGACGAAGCGUGAGUGACGGUAAUGGGUAAAGAAGCACCGGCUAACUACGUGCCAGCAGCCGCGGUGAUACGUAGGGUGCGAGCGUUGUCCGGAUUUAUUGGGCGUAAAGGGCUCGUAGGUGGUUGAUCGCGUCGGAAGUGUAAUCUUGGGGCUUAACCCUGAGCGUGCUUUCGAUACGGGUUGACUUGAGGAAGGUAGGGGAGAAUGGAAUUCCUGGUGGAGCGGUGGAAUGCGCAAAUAUCAGGAGGAACACCAGUGGCGAAGGCGGUUCUCUGGGCCUUUCCUGACGCUGAGGAGCGAAAGCGUGGGGAGCGAACAGGCUUAGAUACCCUGGUAGUCCACGCUGUAAACGGUGGGUACUAGGUGUGGGGUCCAUUCCACGGGUUCCGUGCCGUAGCUAACGCUUUAAGUACCCCGCCUGGGGAGUACGGCCGCAAGGCUAAAACUCAAAGGAAUUGACGGGGCCCCGCACAAGCGGCGGAGCAUGCGGAUUAAUUCGAUGCAACGCGUAGAACCUUACCUGGGUUUGACGUGGAUCGGGAGUGCUCAGAGAUGGGUGUGCCUCUUUUGGGGUCGGUUCACAGGUGGUGCAUGGCUGUCGUCAGCUCGUGUCGUGAGAUGUUGGGUUAAGUCCCGCAACGAGCGCAACCCUUGUUCACUGUUGCCAGCACGUUAUGGUGGGGACUCAGUGGAGACCGCCGGGGUCAACUCGGAGGAAGGUGGGGAUGACGUCAAGUCAUCAUGCCCCUUAUGUCCAGGGCUUCACGCAUGCUACAAUGGCUGGUACAGAGAGUGGCGAGCCUGUGAGGGUGAGCGAAUCUCGGAAAGCCGGUCUCAGUUCGGAUUGGGGUCUGCAACUCGACCUCAUGAAGUCGGAGUCGCUAGUAAUCGCAGAUCAGCAACGCUGCGGUGAAUACGUUCCCGGG